rnacentral:lncRNA from 1 species
ACUCUUACCUCGUCUGUAAUGAGGCUAUUUUCAAAGGACUAUUGGCUCAAGUAAUUUACUAGAUUCUUACAUUUGUAUGGCAUGUCUACACUCUACACCUCGAAAGACAUAAUUUAAACGAGAAGCAUGGAUUACAACUCUCUAUUACCCUUGCUACUGUUAACUUGGAUUUCUACUUCUUCUCCAAUCCUUGUAAAGUAUAAAAAUAAAAGACUAGAUUCUUUCUAAGUUUCAUAAAUAUACUUUGGUAUUUAUGCAGGUAAAAUAAUACAGGCACCUGAUAGAAAAAUGAAUGUGUGCAUAAACUGUCAUGAAAUACACCACAAUAAGAAU